rnacentral:lncRNA from 1 species
UAAUCAAUCUACAUAUAAAGAUUUAAGAGUUUCAUCAAACCAAAUUACUAUAAGCUAAUUCAAUGUAUUUAUUGUAUAUUAAAGAUUACAUAAUAUAAAUAUAAUUAAUGAAAUAGCUUCAAAAUUAAACUAUAUAUUAAAUUGUACACAAGAAGGUAUUACAAGAGUACAUAAAAGGGCGUCAAUAGUUUUUUAUUUUGGUAAAUUAAGUCCUAUCUCUGCACAUUUAGAAUAUCAAAUUAAAUGAACUUAAUACAAUCUAAAGAUCCUUAUUUUAUUUUAUUUUAAUUUUUAGUAUUCUAUAUAAUUGAGAUGCAACUUAUUCCUAUAGAAAUUAUGUUUUUGUUAGUAGAAUUUAGAAUAACAUUAUAUUAUUUUUAUAUUUUUAUAUUUUACACUUUUAAUUUAAAAUAUACUAUUUGUAUAUAAAAUAUAAGGCAAAAAAUAAUAGAUUAUUUUGGCUUCAUGAUAUUUUUUAUUUAAUUUCGUACUCAAAAAUUGUAACAAAGUAACAAAUGCCAAUAUUUUGGGAAGCAUACUUUAAACUCAUUCUUUGUUUACACGUAAUCAUCAAAGUUACACCAAAAAGUUUAUUCCGAGUCAUGUUGUAAUUUUCAUAAUGAACAUAUUUUUAAUAAUAGAAGCAUGCCUGAUUUCUAUGUAAAGUAGAAAUUACAAUGUUUUUAGUAAUGAUUUUUUCUCUUUCAAAUGCUCAAAAUCAAAACUGUAUUGACAAUUAAGAAAUACAUAAAUAUAUACCCACAUACAUAUAAAUGUAUACCAAAAUUCAUAUCAAGUGAUCAA